GACGAACGCUGGCGGCGUGCUUAACACAUGCAAGUCGAACGGAAAGGCCUUUUCGGAGGUACUCGAGUGGCGAACGGGUGAGUAACACGUGGGUGAUCUGCCCUGCACUCUGGGAUAAGCCUGGGAAACUGGGUCUAAUACCGGAUAGGACCGCACUUUAGUGUGUGUGGUGGAAAGUUUUUUCGGUGUAGGAUGAGCCCGCGGCCUAUCAGCUUGUUGGUGGGGUAAUGGCCUACCAAGGCGGCGACGGGUAGCCGGACUGAGAGGUUGGUCGGCCACAUUGGGACUGAGAUACGGCCCAGACUCCUACGGGAGGCAGCAGUGGGGAAUAUUGCACAAUGGGCACAAGCCUGAUGCAGCGACGCCGCGUGGGGGAUGACGGCCUUCGGGCUGUAAACUCCCUUCGCCAGGGACGAAGCGUUUUGUGACGGUACCUGGAGAAGAAGCACCGGCUAACUACGUG
rnacentral:rRNA from 1 species